rnacentral:rRNA from 1 species
GACGAAGGUGGCGACCGUUGUUCGGAAUCACUGGGCAUAAAGAGCACGUAGGCGGCAAGGUAAGUCGGGUGUGAAAUCCCUCGGCCUAACCGAGGAAUUGCGCCCGAAACUACCGUGCUUGAGGAUGGAAGGGGAGCGUGGAAUUCCUGGUGGAGCGGUGAAAUGCGUUGAUAUCAGGAGGAACACCGGCGGCGAAGGCGGCGAUCUGGGUCGAUACUGACGCUGAGGUGCGAAAGCGUGGGGAGCAAACAGG